GUGCUUGCUUCGGCAGCACAUAUACUAAAAUUGGAGAGUUACAGAGAAGAUUAGCAUGGCCCCUAUGCAAGGAUGACAAACAAAUUCAUGAAGCAUUCCAUAUUUUU
rnacentral:snRNA from 1 species